CUCUUCGCAAACACCUUGUCGUCAUAGAGAUGAGGCCGGCCAGAGCCUCUCCGAGCGCUAAGGCAACCGACAAUGCUGAGGAUAGAAGAGAGGAGGAAGCUGGAUUUCUGUUUGGAGCAGCAACACACAUACACAUGCAUAGCUGUCCACAUGUUCGACAUUCCGCCUCCACCUGAUCGAGCUUUCCCGCAGGCAGCGGCCAUCUUGCAACAUCUGCGUACAGAGGAACCGCUAAAGCAUCAGUUUCUGCAUUUUGAGAAGAAGAUUGACACGCUGUCUCUGCCGGAGAACACUGACAAGAGAACUUGAACAACAAGCCUUCCAAGCUGACCUUCAGCGCACUCAAAUACCAAGAUUUACUGGAGGAGAUGAUGACGGACAGCCGCUUCAACAUGUCGCAGCAUAUUGCAAGAAUCCGCUGAAGGACUUGUCUCGUGGUUUCGUGUCCUAAAGCAACAUGAACAAACUUACAACUCAGAAAGCAAGACAACUGGCCCGCGGCUUAACCAGUGAGACACACACACACACACACACACACACACACACACACACACACACACACACACACACACACACACACACACACACACACACACACACACACACACACACACACACGCACACACACACACACACACACACACACACACACACACACACACACGCACACACACACACACACACACACACACCUAAUAAACAUCAAGGUUUGACUUUUGGCCUGUGGACUCCUGGUGGUCCCCAGGAAACCACAAGUGGUCUCUAUGAGUAAUUUAGGCUGGAUUUAAGAUGCCAAACUUCACUGAUGAUUUAAAGCCUAUAUAUUUUUCUGAAUUUCCCUGCACAUUUUAAGUGACACAUUUUUCAAUGGCCUUGUUUACGUUCACUGAAAACAUAAAACAAACCAGAUGCGCGGACCGAAUUGCGCAUACUGUAAAUAACGCGCCAACACAGGGUAAUGACAACACAGCAGUAAAGUGGGGGGUGAGGGGGCUGGGUGGAUGGUAGGUGGUCUUUAGAGCCUCUCCAAGCAUAAAUGUCUGUGCACAUGCAAUAUACGCACAGAAAUAUGCUUUCCUGACACUUUUCAAAAAUCUGCUUGCAACAUUUGCACAACACUCCUCAAUUGGCAUGAAUGUAACCGGCAAGUUUAAAAUUCUGUUUCAGAUGGUACAAACUUAAUUGAAUGAUGCCCCUUUGGAAGUCCCACAGGUUCAAACUGUGCUCAACUGCACGCGCUCAGUGUCUGGUAAGGAAAAUGAACAGCAGGUGAAGAGGGUGUUGGAAAAAAAAAACAUUCACUCCCGACAAACUGCUGCCAUUCAGGUAAACGCGCAUUCAUGUGAAAAGCUGAGAACUAGCUAGCGCUGAGACAGUCUUUAGCAUUUCCCUUGUCAAAGGCAACUGCCUUAUUUUGUUCAGUACGAGUGCUGGAGACACUGCAGCUUGAGAUCAAAGCGAAAAUGAAAAAAAAGGUGCAAUAAGUAGAAGAAAGACAAUUGGAGUUGAGGCCAAAGGCAGCAAACAGUUUGAAUGCAGAUCUGCUGCCCCUCCUUCAGUGUAUGUCAGGGAAGCUCCUCUGCCUUUGGCUUCCUCUCGUUUGCUUCAAGCAGUGUAAUUGUGAUUUCACGGCCAGUUGGAUUCUGUCACUCCCAAUGACUUUGCCUUCUAUAUAAAACCGUUGGUCAUGUAUUUAAACUGAGAGUGAUGGGGCGGUCACCUUAAUAAUGGAUUUUCUCUGAGGCAGAGAAGCAAAUGUGCUUGAGAUGAGAGCACUGUUGAAUUUUUUUCUGUUGUUGGCUAGACGCAACUUAUUUGCAGUCCAAAGUGGCAUUGACUAAAUGUCUGCUUUUCAUUAAUAAUUCAAAUGCUAAAAAAAAGUUCUUCUCUGCUGGCCAGAACACAAACAGAAGCACUGACCCACAUCCAAACAAUUGAAAGGAGCUUUGGGGAAGAAUACAUUAAAAAAAAAACAGCCAAACACCAUAGACGGUCAAACAAAUUGCAUCCGGUUUUAUAAACUCUUACGCAACAGAUAUUUGAACGCAAACCGUGCAGCCACCUGUGUAGACAGACAUAACACCCACAGGCGUAUAUUCAUAUGAAAAUAUUUUUAAAAUAUUAAAAUUCAGCAAAAUUCUUGUGUGUGCAUCUGUAUUACACGGCCCCCUGGCGGCCAUGGUAAGCAUACCAGGAGGAGCCCGAUGUGGGUGUGGAACAGACUGAUGUUUUCGUUCAUUUCAAGAAAUAAGGAUGCUUUUUGAUCAAGAAAUGAUUUUGAAAGAAGUGAUUUUGAGCAAAAUGUUUGUAAUUAGGAUCACAAUUUUGGGACAGACUUUCAACCAAAAUAGAAAAAAAAAUCGUAGCAAGAAAUGACAACACAUUUUAUUUUCAUUUGUGGGCCACAUAAAGGCCUCGAGUUUCAAGGUGGGGUAUUAAAAUUGUAUAUAUUGUAUUGUAUAUAUUCUGGAGAAAAUAAAUGAAUAAAUAAAACUGAAGUUUCAUUUUCUUACAUAAACUGCUAGCCAAGUGUGGUAUACCUCCAAUUUGCAGAUCUGAUGCAGACAGCCAAGUCCGUUUUAAGAUGCCGUUUAUUCUCACAAUUGGUUACAUUGAUAACGUGUACAAAUCAGUGAGCAGCAAACAGGAGCCUACACAUCCAUUGGCAGGAAAUGGAGUGUGUUGUUGUUGUUUAUGAGAAACUGGGAGCCCUCUGCAUGCAUCCUCUUCCUCCUCCAGCAGAGAACUCCCAGCUCCCGGUGUAUAGUUGCACUUUUUUUUUCCUUCUGCAAAGCGGAGCCUGUUGGAGCGUUGCGAGUACUGAAACAAAGACUCAGAGUGAGACCUCAACAGCCUCCAUGAAUAAAAUCAGUAUAUACUUUUAUAAAAUAGAAUAAAUAAAAUAAAAAUAUUUCUGUUCAGUACAUACAGUCUUCCUCUCAAUCGCCCUGGGGCUUGCAAGGCAUUGCAACGACUCUUGCCAUGAAAAGAAUGCAUAGAUAAUUGCCUAUCAGGCGUCAACUUAAUUGACAACUGUGAGAAAAAAAAAAGUCAUUAUUUGCUUUCCUCGUUUUUUUUUCAUAUCUACAAGUUAUAUGUUACACAUUGGCCAUUUGGUGAGUUAAAAAAAGAAAAAAGGCAUUUCAAUAAAAUAGAAGAGUACAGACAUUCAAAAUGAAAGGAAUAGCUUAUGACAACAAUAAAUGGCAAAUGUUACCUUAUAUGGAGAUUAUGUACAUACAUUUGUCAACCCGUUCACAUUUCAGUCAGACAAAAGGUGGCGAGAAGGGCUACUUAUUGUUGCCAGGUUAUUUUCCUGUCAAUGGGAAGAAUGUGCUCAUUUCUCAUGUGUGUUGCUUUCGGGUUUUUUGUUCGGCUAUAAAUAGUUACAUCCAUAAAAGAAAAAGGAAAAAAAAGCUCAAAAUAUUCUUGUGAAAAAUAAGUCACGUGAGGAGAGUGUGGCACUGGUGAAAACAAAAAGACAGGAAGUAAGGAUGUAUGCAGUUAAAAAAAAACUAAA